rnacentral:lncRNA from 1 species
AUGCGUACCACAGCAUGGCCACCCCAGAGCACGCCGCCCCCCCCCCUGGGGUGGGGGGGCCUCCCGUCCCAAACCCCAGGCAUCCUCAGGCCUGAGACCUGGCCCAGCACGAAGGCGAACAAACGCAUUGUGCGCGAAAGCCACAAGCAGAAGGCGAAUAGAACACGAUGCCGCGAUUGCCACCGCCCACGUCUUCUGAUCUUCUCCUCACGGCGCCGAAUUCGCGCGGCGCAACAGCGCAAGGCCACGCAUCGGAGCGCCGGCGGCCGGCUUCCCAUUUUCCUUCCACUACUCCGCACGACGGUCGAUGGCAGUAGGGCACGAGGUGCAGCCAUGACUCUGCGAUCGCCUAGCGCCGCUGCCGCUGCCGCUGCCGUCUACCGCCUCUUAUUUCAGAUUUGCAACCGCGAGCCGCCACGCACCGUCGCCGUCAACUCCUCACUGCGGAGCAGGUUGGUCGACAUCGCCACGGCCGUGAGGCUGCCCAUGGUCGUCACCGGCUGGAGAGAUGUGUGGUACCCACCUGUUCAUGAACGAGAUGGUGGAUGUUCGGUAAAACCAUAUCAACGAUCAGAUGAGCUCGUCAUUUAACAGCGGGUAA